rnacentral:rRNA from 1 species
GACGAACGCUGGCGGCGUGCCUAAUACAUGCAAGUAGAACGCUGAAGGAGGAGCUUGCUUCUCUGGAUGAGUUGCGAACGGGUGAGUAACGCGUAGGUAACCUGCCUGGUAGUGGGGGAUAACUAUUGGAAACGAUAGCUAAUACCGCAUAAUAGCAGUUGUUGCAUGAUAACUGUUUGAAAGGUGCAAUUGCACCGCUACCAGAUGGACCUGCGUUGUAUUAGCUAGUUGGUGGGGUAACCGCUCACCAAGGCGACGAUACAUAGCCGACCUGAGAGGGUGAUCGGCCACACUGGGACUGAGACACGGCCCAGACUCCUACGGGAGGCAGCAGUAGGGAAUCUUCGGCAAUGGACGGAAGUCUGACCGAGCAACGCCGCGGGAGUGAAGAAGGUUGUCGGAUCGUAAAGCUCUGUUGUAAGAGAAGAACGAGUGUGAGAGUGGAAAGUUCACACUGUGACGGUAUCUUACCAGAAAGGGACGGCUAACUACGUG